rnacentral:lncRNA from 1 species
CACUGAGCAUUGUUCAACCAUGCAUUGACGAAAGGAUGACCUGCAGCUACAUGACACCACCAAGUUGGUCCAACCGGGCGUUCCCAGUAUGGAGCUGCAACAUCUGCUACAGUGACAUCAUCUUCCUCAUCGGUAAGCUCAAGAGGCUGAGAGCCCCAAUCAGUAUCAACAUGCACUGUCUGAAGCAGCUCAGAUAUUCUAGCCCAGCCUAUUGGUAUCCAGUAAUUACCAGAAGAUCUUUCUCGGGGAUUGUAAGGAGAGCUCAACAGGCUGAGAGCCCCAAUCAGUAUCAACAUGCACUGUCUGAAGUAGCUCAGAUAUUCUAGCCCAGCCUAUGGUAUCCAGUAAUUACCAGAAGACCUUUCUCGGGGAUUAUAAGGAUACUCUUGUUGAUAACCUUGGACAUGCGGGUUCUCAAUUAUCAACAUAUCCAGACUCUGUAUAAUAAGGUUCUAUAAACUGAU